CACGCGUCCGUAUUUCGUCUGCGUUCCAGUUUAAACGCUCCGAAUCAGUUUUUACUGCAACACGUAUACGUAUUCCGUAUAACCGUUAAAACGAAUCUCAAUCUGUUUUCUUCAAUUUAGGCGAUUCAAAGAACUUGUAUCGCGCGCACGUCCCGCAGAUUAAAUUAACGUGCAACGAAGAAACUUAUAAAUGCAGCUUACGAUUGCCAGACGAUUGAAAACACAGAAUGGAAGAAAUUUUUACUCUGGGAAUAGUUGGAAAAUUAUUUAGAUCGUACACAGAAUAUCGCGAAUAAAAUUAUCUGCGUUACGUGAUUGAGAUGACACUCGAUCAAACGAUCAAACGAUUGAAACAGUUUAAAAGCGAUCGACGUAAAGCCGAGGAAAAGGCUAUAGUUUCAAACGUUCGCCAAUUUCAGCAGAACAAAUGGCAAAAGCAGACAGAGAAGACUUGUAGAAUUCUAACAACACGGAUCACGUAAAAUUAAAGCGGAAGAUCGUCUGUAUCAACAAGAAUUUGCUGGGCGUUUCUUUUGAAUGUUAGAAAAAGCAUAAUUGAAUGGAAAAAGACCGAAAUAAAGCGGUAGAUUUAUUAUAUUUCGGUAUAUUAAAAUUGUACAAUUUUCACAAAAUGGAGUGGAUUAGUAUGAUUUUUGAGCGGUUUACGCGUGCCAAGUAAUGGCCAACCGAAGCAAUUUCUCUUCCAUUCGUGUUCCACAAGUUUAUCGUUUUCAUCCAACGAAAUCUGCAUACGAUGAACGUUAAAAAGCGUAGACAGCACAGUCAGGAAAGAUAUAACGUAAAAGUUUCUUUCGAAGUAUUUCAGCUUCAAAUAUUUCAUUGAAAGGAUGAGAUCGUUCUACGAUCAGAAUAUAGAUCCUAACGAGAUCUGAGAAUUAUCACAGUUUCAAUCUCCAAUAGACAGAUAUUUUCUACAUCGAAGAGACGAAUGAGGCGGUGAUCUAAAGAAAGACGAAACUGUAAAACAGUGAUGAAACCGGAAUAAAAUAUAUUUCUAAAAAUACCAAGUUGUAUAAUAAUCAUAAAGUAACAUAGGAAACAAUGGUGAUAUAGAAAAAUAUCAGACGUGGUAUUUCUAAUUUAUUUACUACUAUUUGUUAAAAAUACUGAAUUAUGCAACACUUCGUUCACGCAUCAUCAAGAUCAAAUGUUCGGUCUACGAGCUUUAUACAUAAUCCAAAUAUUACGAAUAGUUCGUUCGA